rnacentral:rRNA from 1 species
AUUGAACGCUGGCGGCAGGCUUAACACAUGCAAGUCGAGCGGAGAGAGGUAGCUUGCUACUGAUCUUAGCGGCGGACGGGCGAGUAAUGCUUAGGAAUCUGCCUAUUAGUGGGGGACAACAUUUCGAAAGGAAUGCUAAUACCGCAUACGUCCUACGGGAGAAAGCAGGGGAUCUUCGGACCUUGCGCUAAUAGAUGAGCCUAAGUCGGAUUAGCUAGUUGGUGGGGUAAAGGCCUACCAAGGCGACGAUCUGUAGCGGGUCUGAGAGGAUGAUCCGCCACACUGGGACUGAGACACGGCCCAGACUCCUACGGGAGGCAGCAGUGGGGAAUAUUGGACAAUGGGCGGAAGCCUGAUCCAGCCAUGCCGCGUGUGUGAAGAAGGCCUUAUGGUUGUAAAGCACUUUAAGCGAGGAGGAGGCUACUUUAGUUAAUACCUAGAGAUAGUGGACGUUACUCGCAGAAUAAGCACCGGCUAACUCUGUGCCAGCAGCCGCCGUAA